rnacentral:tRNA from 1 species
GGGCCUGUAGCUCAGAGGAUUAGA